GGGAUACAUAAUGUAGUUAGUGUCGGUUAGAACCAGCCGCCCACCCGGGUAGCCCAGUUGGUUAGAGCGCCAUGCUAGUGUUCCGGCGGUCGUGGGUUCGAGCCCCACACCGGGCGCACUUUUCCUCCCAGGAGAUAAACAGAAACACAGAGGUGCUAUACUUUCUGAUGGAAAAGACAACAAAAGCAUCUCCCAUCAUUUUGGCGUGGCUCAGAUCAAGAGGAGAAAUUUAAAAAAGGUGAUGGUUGGGCACAAACAAGAAGACAUAGAUCACAGGCGUAUAGCAUAUGAGUAGACAGGAGUUUCACACUCUGCCAGACUUACUUCCUCAGACGAGCAGAUUUAGGCUUCUCAAGAUCAGGCACUGCACACUAAGACAUAGUCUUUGACUACAACAAGGCCUUAGGGGAUGAAAGUACAGAGACCUGUCCAAUUGAAAUCAAUUCUGUGCUGCGUCAUUUCUUUAUUCUAGAGGUUGAUGGACAUGAUUUAUGGCAUCAAGUGUGCAGUUUGUCAACUAACUAUCAACACAGCAGUCUUGUUCACCAGCUGUGCAACUUGAGCUUUUAGCUUUAUUGCUUGAAGCCACUGUAUAAGAGGAGGGAAGGUGCAGACUCAUCAAAAAGUCUCAAAGUUGAAACUAGGAAAAGAAGUUUGUCAAGAGUGUGAAUAUUUGCUUUGAAAACAAUUGUUACAAUGAUUUGGUUUCCUUUGAAACUUGAUACAUACUAUGUGUAUGUUGAAUGAAUUGAGAUGCUUAAAUAAAGAACCACUAUUCAAAUAUCAGGAAACUGCAUUUUUCAUACUAAAUUGGUAAAUGAUGUCACCAUUUCCUGUAUGUAUUUAGAUAAGAUAUGUUUCCACAAUUAAUAUUUUUAGGGACUAUUUCUCAACGUAAUGAAAUAGAUUAAGCGUUAUAUGAGCUUAAUAUGUGUUUUCUGUUUCCUUAAAAUUGAUGAAAAAUUGUCAGAAGGUAAUGAGACCAGUAUCCAUUACUGCAAUCAUACAAUAAAAAAUACAGGGACAAGCCCACUGCUCAUAUCUGCUAAUAUGAUUAAACCUUGUUUAGGGGCAUGAGGCAAACAGAGUUACUUUCAAAUGUUAAAGAUGCACUAUCACACUUUGGAUGUUUUGACAACUGUUUUCAUUUUUAGCUCUACUGGCCAAAGGCCAGAAGAGCUAAUGCGAUGGUAAUGUGUACGUAGUAUGUGCGUCUGUAAACAAUCCUCGUUUACAUGAUACAGCCUACAGUUCCUUUCGAAAACCAGCCAGAUCCGCCCAUGUAUGCCUAGUUUAUGGGCCUUGAUAGUAUACAAAAAUCAGUGUGUCAGUAGGCAAUUGCUCGUUAACAUGAUACAGCCUUUUUGAUUGUAUCUCAAAGAAACUUGUACAGUAUCUACAUAUCCAUAUGAGCUCGGUUCCUUUCGAAAACCAGCCAGAUCCGCCCAUGCAUGCCAAGAUUAUGGGCCUUGAUAAUAAAAAAAAAUAGUGUGUCAGUAAACAAUUGCUAUGUAACACGAUACAGUCUUCAGUUUUGAUUGUAUCUUGAUGAAACUUGUCCAGUAUAUCCAUUAGAGCUCAGUUCCUUUCAAAAACCUGAUCUGCCCAUGUUUCCUGGUUUAUUGGCCUUGAAAUUAUUAGAUGAUGGGCCUUGAUAGUAUAAAAAAUGCUAUUUUGUAAUAAAUGCUUGCGAAUAUGAUACAGUCUUCAGUUUUGAGUAUUCAGAUACCCAUAAGGGGUUGAUUCUUUUCGAAAACAGUGAUGUUGACCACACAAACCCAGCCAGUAGAGCAUAGGCCCUUUUGGGCCUCUUGUUUGUUUUGGAUUGGUACCAUCCAGUCUUUGCGAAAAAUGCAUGGAAACCAGUAAUAUAAGACUACUGACAAAAAAUUCAAUUGCAGACUUUUUUAUUUAAGUUAAAACAUUGAUGUUUUAUGCACUUUUCUUAAACCGUUAGUAACAUUAAUCUUCGAAGAAAAUAUGAAAUCUGGGAUUUGAUGUUUUGUCAGCAAUCUUUUACCAUUGGUUUGCUGAUAUUUACGCAAAAAUUUGCUCAUUCCAAGACAAAACAAAAGUUGUUAAAACGGCAUAUCUGUGAGAAUGCAGCUCUAAAUGUUUUGGCAAACAUGUUUUUGAUUUGGCAGCACAAUCAAUCUUGAACAUUGCUUGAUUUUACUGCUGUAUUAGAAAUUACAGGGGUAAUGGGGGAUUUUUUUUAGUGUUUUUAUUGCUUUUUGUGAUUCAUACAGUCAUACUUCAUUCCCCAGGGCACAACUUACAAAUAGACAGAACAGGAAAAUGGUCAUUUUAAAAGGUCAAGGACAAUGCAAGUUGAACAAUCAUAUUGUUCAUGGCUUGUAUUUUUGGUAUAUUUUGUUGCAUAUAUGCUAUAAAAAAGUUGAAAGUUAAAAAUAACUUAUAGUUGAAAUGAUGGCUUUGAAUGGUUUUGUCAGUUGAGAAACAGCACUAUUAAGAAAUAUGUUAAUGGUACUUUAUUAUUUUAAUCAAUUUUAGAUAUUUGUAUGAAAAUUAUUAUCUUAUUUUGUACAUGAGACCUUUUAAACAGUUAUUUAUAAUUUAACAAUGUGUAAAUGAUCAAAACUUAAAACUGCACUUUCACAGAUUGUCAUUUUAGACACUUUAAAAAUUUUGUCUCAAAAGCUGAUUUGGUUAUCAUUCCUUUAAUUCAGUCAUAUUAGAUAAUUCACAAUAGAACCAAUCAAAAAUGUUUGGUAAGACUGCCGAAAAGUUCAUUUACAUUAAAUUGUUCGUAAUGCUACUAUACCCAUAAAACAUCAUUUUAGCCAUAAAUAUGACAAAAUGCAAUCUGAUCUUAUUUCAGAAGUCUUAUAUCACUUAAAAUUGGGUCUAUGCAAAAAAUGGUCUAUUUAUAGACCAACAAUAAAAGAGUGCCGGUAGUCAAAACGAUCAAUUAGUGAGAUUGCAGCUUUAAAUACACCUUUUUAAGUCCGCUGUAAAAUUCCAAUGGUUUGCCUCAAUCUUUAAAGCUAGCAUACUGUUUAAUUGACAGCCAUACUUUUUGUUUAAAAGUGUCAUGAUAUGUUUGUACAAUGUGUUUAUAUAAUUCAUUAAAGAAGUCAA